CGUGGAACAAAAGGGUG
rnacentral:sRNA from 1 species